CCUACGGUCGGCAGCAGUCGAGAAUCAUUCACAAUGGGGGAAACCCUGAUGGUGCGACGCCGCGUGGGGGAAUGAAGGUCUUCGGAUUGUAAACCCCUGUCAUGUGGGAGCAAAUUAAAAAGAUAGUACCACAAGAGGAAGAGACGGCUAACUCUGUGCCAGCAGCCGCGGUAAUACAGAGGUCUCAAGCGUUGUUCGGAAUCACUGGGCGUAAAGCGUGCGUAGGCUGUUUCGUAAGUCGUGUGUGAAAGGCGCGGGCUCAACCCGCGGACGGCACAUGAUACUGCGAGACUAGAGUAAUGGAGGGGGAACCGGAAUUCUCGGUGUAGCAGUGAAAUGCGUAGAUAUCGAGAGGAACACUCGUGGCGAAGGCGGGUUCCUGGACAUUAACGGACGCUGAGGCACGAAGGCCAGGGGAGCGAAAGGGAUUAGAUACCCCAGUAGUC
rnacentral:rRNA from 1 species